rnacentral:rRNA from 1 species
CAAGUCAUCAUGGCCCUUACGACCAGGGCUACACACGUGCUACAAUGGCAUAUACAAAGAGAAGCGACCUCGCGAGAGCAAGCUGACCUCAUAAAGUAUGUCGUAGUCCGGAUUGGAGUCUGCAACUCGACUCCAUGAAGUCGGAAUCGCUAGUAAUCGUAGAUCAGAAUGCUACGGUGAAUACGUUCCCGGGCCUUGUACACACCGCCCGUCACACCAUGGGAGUGGGUUGCAAAAGAAGUAGGUAGCUUAACCUUCGGGAGGGCGCUUACCACUUUGUGAUUCAUGACUGGGGUGAAGUCGUAACAAGGUAACCGUAGGGGAACCUGCGGUUGGAUCACCUCCUUA